UGCAGUCGACGGAAACGAUACUAGCUUGCUAGUAGGCGUCGAGUGGCGGACGGGUGGGUAACGCGUAGGAAUCUGCCUGAUAGUGGGGGAUAGCCCGAAGAAAUUCGGAUUAAUACCGCAUAAUCUAUUCGUAGUAAAGUGGGGGACUUUUAAGCCUCACGCUAUCAGAUGAGCCUGCGUAAGAUUAGCUAGUUGGUAGGGUAAAAGCCUACCAAGGCAACGAUCUUUAGCUGGUCUGAGAGGAUGAUCAGCCACAUCGGGACUGAGACACGGCCCGAACUCCUACGGGAGGCAGCAGUGGGGAAUAUUGGACAAUGGGGGCAACCCUGAUCCAGCAAUACCGCGUGUGUGAAGAAGGCCUGAGGGUUGUAAAGCACUUUCAAUUGUGAAGAAAAGUUAACGGUUAAUAACCGUUAGCCUUGACGUUAACUUUAGAAGAAGCACCGGCUAACUCCGUGCCAGCAGCCGCGGUAAUACGGAGGGUGCAAGCGUUAAUCGGAAUUACUGGGCGUAAAGCGUGCGUAGGCGGUUUAUUAAGUCAGAUGUGAAAGCCCCGGGCUUAACCUGGGAACUGCAUUUGAAACUGGUCAACUAGAGUAUGGUAGAGGAAAGUGGAAUUUCUGGUGUAGCGGUGAAAUGCGUAGAUAUCAGAAGGAACAUCAAUGGCGAAGGCAGCUUUCUGGACCAAUACUGACGCUGAGGUACGAAAGCGUGGGUAGCAAACAGGAUUAGAUACCCUGGUAGUCCACGCCGUAAACGAUGAUAACUAGCCGUUGGGGGGAUUUACCCUUUAGUGGCGAAGCU
rnacentral:rRNA from 1 species